rnacentral:tRNA from 1 species
GCCCUUGUAGUAUAUCUAUUACCCCGGCCUUGUAAGCCGAAAAUGGAGCAUAGCUUCCCCAGGGCA